ACGUUCUCGCGUCCCUGGGUCGGCGGCGGCGCGGCGUGCGCGCGCGUGAGCACACACGGAACCGGGAAUCGCCAAAGGACAGGACAGAAGUGCUGAGGAAUUUUCACCCCUGAGAGCAGCCUUCAACCAAUGACAAAUGGAAGCUGAAGGAUAUAUACAUAUACCACCUGUGGCAGGCUGGAAAAUGUCCUCUGAAGACAUCAGGCCCUGAAACUGUUGAAUUUUAUGUUGUAGAGCCAAAGCGGCCAUAGAACACUAAUAUACCAACAUUUAUACUAAUAAGUAUACCAAUGUCCUCACUCCUGAGAAGCAGGACAACUCGGAGGCAUCUUCCACAUUGUCUCCAGGAGUCUACAGAAGGGCUGAGCCCCACCUGCAGAGGUAACUUACCCAUCAGCCCACUCUGUUACUGGCCUUCUCUCCCCAGUCUCACUUCCCCACUCUGCUAUCAGUGGUUCCAGGUCUCUCCUUCAAGAUAAACCACAUACUCUCAAAUCCUUGUGUAUUAGUUUCCUGGAGCUGCUGUAACAAAGUACCAUAAAUUGUGUGGCUUAAAACAACAGAAGUUUAUUCUCUCACAGUUCUGGAGGCCAGAAGUUGGAAAUACAGUAAAGGUGUUGGUGCGAUUGGUUCCUCUUCAGGGCUCUGAGGAAAAGUCUCUUCCAUGCAUCUCUCCUAGCUUCUGGUGAUGGCUGACGACCCAUGGCAUUCUUUGGUUUGUAAAUGCGUCACUCCAGUCUCUGCCUCCAUCUUUACAUAGCAUUCUCCCUGUGUCUCUGUGUCUUCACGUGGCCGUCUUCCCCUCAUAUAAGAACACUGGUUAUAUUGGAUCAAGAACCCACUCUGAUGACCAUAUCACAACUUUAAUUACAUGUGCAAAGACCCUAUUUCCAAAUAAGGUCACAUUUAUAGGUACCAGGGAUGCGAAUUUUAAUAUCUUUUAUGGGGCACACAAUUCAACUCAUAACACCUUGACUCAGGGUCAGAUUCGGGGACCCCCAACCUAAGACAAUUAUCACUUAUGAAGCACUUUUUAUAUUUCCCUAAAUAUAAUUAUCUUACUUUAUCCUCAAUAAUCUUAUGAGAUAAAUAUUGGCUCCAUUUUAAAGUUAAUAAAUCUGAGGAUUAGAUACUAUAGUGUAGUCAAGUCAUUGUUGUAUCAGGUGAGAAGUGUAAUAAGAUGCCAGUCCCACCAGUGGGAGUGGUUUUCAGCAAAAGAGGUCAAAUGCCUUAAGCUUUUUUUCUCUAAUCUGCAAUAAUAUAGAUGAGGAAACAAUUAAAGAGGGAUUUUCCUAGGACUGUGAUAUGUGUUCUUUUUUAUUUAAGACUUUUGUUGAUAAACUUCUAAGACCUGACAUUUCCUCUUUCUUUACUUGCAUUGGCUGUUCAGAGCCACUCUUUAUUUAUUCAUUGCUUUCAAAAAUCUGUGGGGAAGGGGAAGUAGUUUCCAUGCACAAAGUCAUGUCCAGUUUCUGAUACUCCCUUUGGCAGCAAUAGUUGCUCCCUCUCCUCUCUGUACCAGACUCUGCUAGGAGCUCUCUGUAAAACAAUAUUCUGUAAAACAAGGACACAUUGUCUCAGCCUCUGUGCUAAAGCUGCUGGGAAGUAUACUGAGCAGGGAAGAGACUAUAGAAUGAAACUAACAUCUAAGGUAUCCUGUAUAUCAUUUUCACACCUCUCACAAUGCUACCCCUGCCUAUUGUAAUAUUUUCUACUCCAUCUAUCACCAAAGGUCAAGUCCUUCCCCUGGUCACAAGUCUGAAAAUACUUCCACUUAUGGGCAUAUCCACAUACACUCCAAAGACCUGUUUAGGUGGCAUUUAUGCUUCUGAUUGCUUUCCUUCAUUUUCCAAGCUGACACUGCUGAUUAUAAUUAAAAUCCUCUCGGGUAAAUAAAUGGAUACAUAACUGAACUAAGUGGAUAUUUAUGAAUAGAUUGAUGAGAGGUCUGGAUGAUCCAAAAUAUCUCCUCCAACAUCUGUCACAUUAGAAAGAAGAUAAAGAUCUGACCCUGAGCAAUCCCUCUCUUGGGCCCAUUAGGAGCAAAAUGACUUUUUAAUAUUCUAUUUAGGACUUUUUAAUAUUCAGAAAAAGGGGAAUGGGUGGCUUCUGGAGGUGGCAAAAAUGGGAAGUGGCGGAGGGGAAGAAGGUAAGUGAAAGAGGCUCCAAAACAGCUAGGUUUUAGACAUAAGACGUGUGUAUGUCAUAACAUGAUGAUAAUUUCAGUAGGCGUAUGAGUUAUCUAUUUCUGCUUAACAAAUUACCCUAGAAGUUAACAACUUAAAACAAUAAUAAACAUUUAUUAUUUCACAUAGUGUCUGUGGGUCUGGAGUUUAGGAGUGGUUUAUCAGGACGGUUCUGGUUCUGGAAGUUGCAAUCUAGCUGUUGGUCAAGGCUGCAGUCGUAUGAAGACUUUACUGAGGCUCAAGGAUUAACUUCUAAGAUGGCUCACUCAUAUGGCUCUUGGCAAGAAGCAUCAGUUCCUUACCGGCUGUUGGCAGCAAGCUUCGGUUUCUCACUACCAUAGGGCUGCUUGAAUGUCUUCAUGACACAGCAACUGGCUUCCCCCAGAGCAAAUUAUCCAAGAGAGAGCAAGAAGAAAACUCUGCCUUUUUAAGAUCUAGUCUUGGAAGUCAUCACUUCCACUGUUCAGUUUAUUAAAAGUGAGUCACUUAAUUCAGACCACUCCUAAUGAUAGGGGAGUUAGAGUUCACUUUUUUCUUUUUUUUUUGGCUGCGCUGUGUGUCUUGUGGGAUCUUAGUUCCCCGACCAGGGAUUGAA